UUAGCUCUGAACCCCAUUUUUUAAUAGGGUUAUUUGUUUCCCUGCGGUCUAACUUCUUGAGUUCUUUGUAUAUUUUGGAUAUAAGGCCUCUAUCUGUUGUAGGAUUGGUAAAGAUCUUUUCCCAAUCUGUUGGUUGCCGUUUUAUCGUAACCAGUGUCCUUUGCCUUACAGAAGCUUUGCAGUUUUAUGAGAUCCCAUUUGUCGAUUCUUGAUCUUAGAGCGUAAGCCAUUGGUGUUUUGUUCAGGAAAUUUUUUCCAGUGCCCAUGUGUUCCAGAUGCUUCCCUAGUUUUUCUUCUAUUAGUUUGAGUGUGUCUGGUUUGAUGUGGAGGUCCUUGAUCCACUUGGACUUAAGCUUCGUACAGGGUGAUAAGCAUGGAUCGAUCUGCAUUCUUCUGCAUGUUGCCCUCCAGUUGAACCAGCACCAUUUGCUGAAAAUGCUAUCUUUUUUCCAUUGGAUGGUUUUGGCUCCUUUGUCAAAAAUCAAGUGACCAUAGGCGUGUGGGUUCAUUUCUGGGUCUUCAAUUCUAUUCCAUUGGUCUAUCUGUCUGUCUCUGUACCAAUACCAUGCAGUUUUUAUCACUAUUGCCCUGUAAUACUGCUUGAGUUCAGGGAUAGUGAUUCCCCCUGAAGUCCUUUUAUUGUUGAGGAUAGCUUUAGCUAUCCUGGUUUUUUGUUAUUCCAGAUGAAUUUGCAAAUUGUUCUGUCUAACUCUUUGAAGAAUUGGAUUAGUAUUUUGAUGGGGAUUGCAUUGAAUCUGUAGAUUGCUUUUGGUAAAAUGGCCAUUUUUACUAUAUUAAUCCUGCCAAUCCAUGAGCAUGGGAGAUCUUUCCAUCUUCUGAGGUCUUCAAUUUCUUUCCUCAGUGUCUUGAAGUUCUUAUUGUACAGAUCUUUUACUUGCUUGGUUAAAGUCACACCGAGGUACUUUAUAUUAUUUGGGUCUAUUAUGAAGGGUGUCGUUUCCCUAAUUUCUUUCUCAGCUUGUUUCUCUUUUUUAUAGAGGAAGGCAACUGAUUUAUUUGACUUAAUUUUAUACCCAGCCACUUUGCUGAAGUUGUUUAUCAGCUUUAGUAGUUCUCUGGUGAAACUUUUGGGAUCACUUAAAUAUACUAUCAUAUCAUCUGCAAAUAGUGAUAUUUUGACUUCUUCUUUUCCGAUCUGUAUCCCCUUGAUGAUCUCCUUUUGUUGUCUGAUUGCUCUGGCUAGAACUUCAAGAACUAUAUUGAAUAACUAGGGAGAGAGUGGGCAGCCUUAUCUAGUCCCUGAUUUUAGUGGGAUUGCUUCAAGUUUCUCUCCAUUUAGUUUAAUGUUAGCAACUGGUUUGCUGUAUAUGGUUUUUACUAUGUUAAGUAUGGGCCUUGAAUUCCUAUUCUUUCCAGGACUUUUAUCAUGAAGGGGUGUUGAAUUUUGUCAAAUGCUUUCUCAGCAUCUAAUGAAAUGAUCAUGUGGUUCUGUUCUUUCAGUUUGUUUAUAUAAUGGAUCACGUUGAUGGUUUUCCAUAUAUUAAACCAUCCCUGCAUGCCUGGGAUGAAGCCUACUUGAUCAUGGUGGAUGCUUGUUUUGAUGUGCUCUUGAAUUCGGUUUCCCAGAAUUUUAUUGAGUAUUUUUGCGUCGAUAUUCAUAAGGGAAAUUGGUCUGAAGUUCUCUUUCUUUGUUGUGUCUUUUUGUGGUUUAGGUAUAAGAGUAAUUGUGGCUUCGUAGAAGGUAUUCGGUAGUGAUCCAUCUGUUUCAACUUUGUGGAAUAGUUUGGAUAAUAUUGGUAUGAGGUCUUCUAUGAAGGUUUGAUAGAAUGCUGCACUAAACCCGUCUGGACCUGAGCUCCUUUUAGUUGGGAGACCUUUAAUGACUGCUUCUAUUUCCUUAGGAGUUAUGGGGUUGUUUAACUGGUUUAUCUGUUCCUGAUUUAACUUCGAUACCUGGUAUCUGUCUAGGAAAUUGUCCAUUUUCUGGAGAUUUUCAAGUUUUGUUGAAUAUAGGUUUUUAUAGUAAGAUCUGAUGAUUUUUUGAAUUUCCUCUGAAUCUGUAGUUAUGUCUCCCUUUUCAUUUCUGAUUUUGUUAAUUUGGACGCACUCUCUGUGUCCUCUCGUUAGUCUGGCUAAGGGUUUAUCUAUCUUAUUGAUUUUCUCAAAGAACCAACUUUUGGUUCUGUUGAUUCUUUCUAUGGUCCUUUUUGUUUCUACUUGGUUGAUUUCAGCUCUGAGUUUGAUUAUUUCCUGCCUUCUACUCCUCCUGGGUGUAUUUGCUUCUUUUUGUUCUAGAGCUUUUAGGUGUGCUGUCAAGCUGCUGACAUAUGCUCUUUCCUGUUUCUUUCUGCAGGCACUCAGUGCUAUGAGUUUUCCUCUUAGCACAGUUUUCAUUGUGUCCCAUAAGUUUGGGUAUGUUGUACCUUCAUUUUCAUUAAAUUCUAAAAAGUUUUUAAUUUCUUUAUUUCUUCCUUGACCAUUGAGUAGAGCAUGGUUCAAUUUCCACAUAUAUGUGGGCAUUCUUCCCUUAUUGUUAUUGAAAACCAGUUUUAGGCCGUGGUGGUCCGAUAGAACGCAUGGGAUUAUUUCUUUCUGUACUUGUUGAGGCCCGUUUUUUGACCAAUUAUAUGGUCAAUUUUGGAGAAAGUACCAUGAGGAGCUGAGAAGAAGGUAUAUCCUUUUGCUUUAGGAUAGAAUGUUCUAUAAAUAUCCGUUAAGUCCAUUUGGCUCAUGACUUCUCUUAGUCUGUCGACAUCACUGUUUAAUUUCUGUUUCCAUGAUCUGUCCAUUGAUGAGAGUGGGAUGUUGAAAUCUCCCACUAUUAUUGUGUGAGGUGCAAUGUGUGUUUUGAGCUUUAGUAAGGUUUCUUUUACGUAUGUAGGUGCCCUUGUAUUUGGGGCAUAGAUACUUAGGAUUGAGAGUUCAUCUUGGUGGAUUUUUCCUUUGAUGAAUAUGAAGUGUCCUUCCUUAUCUUUUUUGAUGACUUUUAGUUGAAAAUUGAUUUUAUUUGAUAUUAGAAUGGCUACUCCAGCUUGCUUCUUCUGACCAUUUGCUUGGAAAGUUGUUUUCCAGCCUUUCACUCUGAGGUAGUGUCUGUCUUUGUCUCUGAGGUGUGUUUCCUGUAGGCAGCAGAAUGCAGGGUCCUCAUUGCGUAUCCAGUUUGUUAAUCUAUUUCUUUUUAUUGGGGAGUUGAGGCCAUUGAUGUUGAGAGAUACUAAGAAAUAGUGAUUAUUGCUUCCCUUUAUAUUCAUAUUUGGAUGUGAGGUUAUGUUUGUGUGCUUUCAUUCUCUUUGUUUUGUUGCCAAGACGAUUAGUUUCUUGCUUCUUCUAGGGUAUAGCUUGCCUCCUUAUGUUGGGCUUUACCAUUUAUUAUCCUUUGUAGUGCUGGAUUUGUAGAAAGAUAUUGUGUAAAUUUGGUUUGUCAUGGAAUAUCUUGGUUUCUCCAUCUAUGUUAAUUGAGAGUUUUGCAGGAUACAGUAACCUGGGCUGGCAUUUGUGUUCUCUUAGGGUCUGUAUGACAUCAGUCCAGGAUCUUCUGGCCUUCAUAGUUUCUGGCGAGAAGUCUGGUGUGAUUCUGAUAGGUCUGCCUUUAUAUGUUACUUGACCUUUUUCCCUUACUGCUUUUAAUAUUCUUUCUUUAUUUUGUGCGUUUGGUGUUUUGACAAUUAUGUGACGGGAGGUGUUUCUUUUCUGGUCCAGUCUAUUUGGCUUCUUGUAUGUCUAUAGGUAUCUCUUUUUUUAGGUUAGGGAAGUUUUCUUCUAUGAUUUUGUUGAAGAUAUUUACUGGUCCUUUGAGCUGGGAGUCUUCACUCUCUUCUAUACCUAUUAUCCUUAGGUUUGAUCUUCUCAUUGAGUCCUGGAUUUCCUGUAUGUUUUGGACCAGUAGCUUUUUCCGCUUUACAUUAUCUUUGACAGUUGAGUCAAUGAUUUCUAUGGAAUCUUCUGCUCCUGAGAUUCUCUCUUCCAUCUCUUGUAUUCUGUUGGUGAAGCUUGUAUCUACAGCUCCUUGUCUCUUCUUUUGGUUUUCUAUAUCCAGGGUUGUUUCCAUGUGUUCUUUCUUGAUUGCUUCUAUUUCCAUUUUUAAUUCCUUCAACUGUUUGAUUGUGUUUUCCUGGAAUUCUUUCAGGGAUUUUUGCGAUUCUUUCAGGGAUUUUUGCGAUUCCUCUCUGUAGGCUUCCACUUGUUUAUUAAUGUUUUCCUGUGUUUCCCUAAGGGAGUUCUUCACGUCUUUCUUGAAGUCCUCCAUCAUCAUGAUCAAAUAUGAUUUUGAAACUAGAUCUUGCUUUUCUGGUGUGUUUGGAUAUUCCAUGUUUGUUUUGGUGGGAGAAUUGGGCUCCGAUGAUGCCAUGUAGUCUUGGUUUCUGUUGCUUGGGUUCCUGCGCUUGCCUCUCGCCAUCAGAUUAUCUCUAGUGUUACUUUGUUCUGCUAUUUCUGACAGUGGCUAGACUGUCCUAUAAGCCUGUGUGUCAGGAGUGCUGUAGACCUGUUUUCCUCUCUUUCAGUCAUUUAUGGGGACAGAGUGUUCUGCUUUCGGGCGUGUAGUUUUUCCUCUCUACAGGUCUUCAGCUGUUCCUGUGGGCCUGUGUCUUGAGUUCACCAGGCAGCUUUCUUGCAGCAGAAAAGUUGGUCUUACCUGUGGUCCCGAGGCUCAAGUUCGCUCGUGGGGUGCUGCCCUCAGGCUCUCUGCAGCGGCAGCAACCAGGAAGAUAUGCGCCGCCCCUUCCGGGAGCUUCAGUGCACCAGGGUUCCAGAUGGCCUUUGGUGUUUUCCUCUGGCGUCCGAGAUGUGUGUGCAGAGAGCAGUCUCUUCUGGUUUCCCAGGCUUGUCUGCCUCUCUGAAGGUUUAGCUCUCCCUCCCACGGGAUUUGGGUGCAGAGAACUGUUUAUCCGGUCUGUUUCCUUCAGGUUCUGGCGGUGUCUCAGGCAGGGGUCCUGCCGCUCCUGGGCCCUCCCCCACGGGAGCCCAGAGGCCUUAUACAGUUUCCUCUUGGGCCAGGGAUGUGGGCAGGGGUGGGCAGUGUUGGUGGUCUCCUCCUCUCUGCAGCCUCAGGAGUGCCCACCUGACCAGGCGGUUGGGUUUCUCUCUCACGGGGUCUGGGAGCAGAGAGCUGCUGCAGGCCGGAUCCGCGGGUGUGGGACUUCCGGUAAACACAGGCCGUGCCCGGUCCUAGAGGAAUUCUGCCUCCGUGUGUCCUGAGCUUACCAGGCAGCUUUCUUGCAGCAGAAAAGUUGGUCCUACCUGUGGUCCCGAGGCUCAAGUUCGCUCGUGGGGUGUUGCCCACGGGCUCUCUGCAGCGGCAGCUUGCCUAUGAAUUUAAUGAAGUCAUUGUUUUUAACAUCUGAUUAGUACUCCAUUGUAUAAAUGUACCACAUUUUCUGUAUCCAUUCCUCUGUUGAGGGAUAUCUGGGUUCUUUUCAGCUUAUGGCUAUUAUAAAUAAGGCUGCUAUUAACAUAGUGAGCGAUCUAUCCUUGUUGUAUGUUACAGCAUCUUUUGGGUAUAUGCCCUGAAGUAGUAUAGCUGGGUCCUCAAGUAGUACUAUGUUCAAUUUUCUGAGGAACCUCCAGACUGAUUUCCAGAAUGGUUGUACCAGCUUGCAAUCCCACCAACAAUGGAGGAGUGUUCCUCCUUCUCCACAUCUUUCCCAGCAUCUACUGUCACCUGACUUUGGAUUGUUAGCCAUUCUGACUAGUGUGAGGUAAAAUCUAAGGGUAGUUUUGAUUUGCAUUUCCCCAAUGACUAAGGAUGUUGAACAUUUCUUUAGGUGCUUCACAGUCAUUUAAUAUUCUUCAGUUGAGAAUGAUUUGCUUAGCACUCUACACCAUUUUUUAAAAUUUUUAUUGGAUAUUUUUUUAAUUUAUACUUCAAAAAUUAUUCCCUUUACCGAUUUCCCGGACAUAAGCCCCCUAUCCCAUCCCCCUCCCCUUCUUCUAUACUGGUGUUCCCAUCCACUCCCCUUCUCAACACCCCAACAUUCCCCUACACUGGGGGUCCAACCUUGGCAGAACCAAGGGCUUCUCCUUCCAUUGGUGCCCAGCAAGGCCUUCCUCUGCUACAUAUGCAGUUGGAGCCAUGUGUCAGUCCAUGUAUAGUCUAUGGGUAGUGGUUUAGUCCCUGGGAGCUCUGGUUGGUUGGUAUUGUUGUUCUUAUGGUGUUGCAAGCCCCUUCAGCUCUUUCAAUCCUUUCUCUAAUUCUUUCAACAGGGGUCCUGUUCUCAGUUCACUGGUUUCCUGCUAGCAUUUGCCUCUGUAUUUGACACACUCUGACUAUGUCUCUCAGGAGACAUUUAUAUCUGGUUCCUGUCAGCAUGCACUUCUUAGCUUCAUCAUUUUUAUCUAGACUUGGUGGUUGUGUAUAUAUGGGGCACAUGUGGGGCAGGUUUUCAAUGGCCAUUCCUUCAGUCUACUCCAAACUUUGCCACCACAUCCCCUCCUAUCGGUAUUUUUGUUCCCCAUUUUAAGAAGAACUGAAGCAACCACACUUUGUUCAUCCUUUUUGAGCUUCAUAUGGUUUGUGUAUUGCAUCCUAGGUAAUUUGAGCUUUUGGGAUAAUAUGCACUUAUCAGUAAGUACAUACCAUGUGUGUUUUUCUGUGAUUACCUCACUCAGGAUGAUAUUUUCUAGUCCAAUCCAUUUGCCUAUGAAGUCAUUGUUUUUGAUAGCUGAAUAGUAAUCCAUUGUGUAAAUGUACCAUGUAUUCAUUCCUCUGUUGAAGGACAUCUGAGUUCUUUCCAGCUUCUGGCUAUUAUAAAUAAGGCUGCUAUGAACAUAGUGUAGCAUGUGCCCUUGUUAUACGUUGGCACAUCUUUUGGGUACAUGCCCAGGAGAGGUAUAGCUGGAUCCACAGGUAGUGGAAAGUCCAAUUUUCUGAGGAACCUCCAGACUGAUUUUGAGAGUUUUACCCUAUUUUUAAUAGGGUUAUUUGAUUCUCUCGAGUCUACCUUCUUGAGUUCUUUGUAUAUAGUGCAUAUCUGAUGUAGGAUUGGUAAAGAUCUUUUCGCAAUCUGUUGGUUGUCAUUUUGUCCUAAUGACAGUGUCCUUUGCCUUACAGAAUCUUUGCAAUUUUAUGAAGUACCAUUUGUUGAUUCUUGAUCUUAGAGCCUAAGCCAUUUUGUUCUAUUCAGGAAAUUUUCCCCAGUGCCUAUGUGGUUUUUUUUCUGUUAGUCUGAGUGUAUCUGGUUGUAUGUGGAAGUCCUUGAUCCACUUGGACUGGUUGGUACAGGGAUAUAAGAAUGGAUCAAUUCUCAUUCUUCUACAUGUUGACCUUCAGUUGAACCAGCACCAUUUGUUGAAAAUGCUUUUUUCCACUGGAUGGUUUUAGCUCUUUGUCAAAGAACAAGUGACCAUGGGUGUGUGAGUUAAUUUCUGGGUCUACAAUUCCAUUUCAUUGAUCUACUUGCCUGUGUCUGUAACAAUACCAUAGAGCUGUUUUUUAUCACUAUUGUUCUGUAAUAGAGCUGAUUUGCUGUAUAUUGCUUUUACUAUGUUUGUUUAUGUAUGGGCCUUGAGUUCCUGGUCUUUCCAGGACUUUGAACAUGAAGGGGUAUUGAAUUUUGUUAAAUGCAUUCUCAGCAUCUAAUGAGAUGAUCAUGAGGUUAUUUCUUUGAGUUUGUUUAUAUAGUAAAUUAUGUUGAUAGACUUCCAUAUAUUGAACCAUGCCUGCAUCCCUGGGAUGAAGCCUACUUGAUCAUGAUGGAUGGUCAUUUUGAUGUGUUGUUUGUGUUUGUGAGAAUUUUAUUGAAUUUUUGCAUUGAUAUUCAUAAGGGAAAUUGGUCUAAAGUUCUCUUUCUUUGUUGGGUCUUUGUGUGGUUUAGAUAUAACAGCAAUUAUGGCUUCAUAAAAGGAAUUGGAUAGUGUUCCUUCUGUUUCUAUUUUAUGGAAGAGUUUGGACAGUAUUGGUAUGAGGUCUUCUAUGAUGGUCUGAUAGUGUUGGGAGACUUUAAGUGACUGCUUCUAUUAUUUUAGAAGUUAUAGGAGUGUUUAUGCACUUUAUAUGAUCCUGAUUUAACUUUGGUACCUGGUAUCUGUCUAGAAAAUUGUACAUUUCAUCUACAGUUUCCUGUUUUGUUGAGUGUAGACUUUUGUAGUAGGAUCUGAUGAUUUUUUUUUAAUUUCCUCAGUUUCUGUUGUUGUUUCCCUUUUCAUUUAUGAUUUUGUUAACUUGAAUAAUCUUUCUGUGGCCCUUGGUUUGUCUGGCUAUGGGUUAAUUUAUCUUGUUGAUUUUCUCAAAGCACCAGCUCCUGGUUGUUUUGAUGCUUUGUAUAGUUCUUUUUGUUUCUAUUUGGUUGAUGUCAGCCCUGAGUUUGAUUUGUUCCUGCUAUUUACUCCUCUUGGCUGUAUUUACUUCCUUGAGCUUUUUUUUAUGUGUGCUAUCCAUCUGUUAAUUUAUGCUAUCUCCAGUUUCUUUAUGGAAGUACUCAGAGCUAUGCAUUUUACUCUUAGCACUACUUUCAUUCUAUCCCAUAAGUUUGGGUAUGUUGUGCCUUCAUUUUCAUUAAAUUGUAUCUUUUUUCAUUUUGUCCUGACCAAGUUAUCAUUGAGUAGAACAUUGUUCAGCUUCCAUGUGUAUGUGGGCUUUCUGUCAUUUUUGUUGUUAUUGAAGACUAGUCUUAGUCCCUGGUGAUCUUAUAGAAUGCAUGGAAUUAUUUCAACCUUCUUGUAUCCAUUGAGGAAAGUUUUGUGACUGAUUAUAUGGUCAAUUUUGGAGAAGGUAUUGUGAGGUGCUGAGAAUAAGGUAUAUUCUUCUUUUAGGAUGAAAUAUUCUAUAGAUUUCUAUUAAAUCCAUUUUGUUCAUAACUUCUGUUAGUUUCUCUGUGUCUUUGUUUAGUUUUGUUUUCUAUGGUCUGUCCAUUGCUCAGAGUGGAGUGUUGAAGUCUCCCACUAUUAUUGUGUGAGAUGCAACGUGUACUUUGAGCUUUAGUAAAGUUUCUCCUAUGAAUGUGCCCUUACAUUUGGAGCAUAGAUAAUCAGAAUUGAGAUUUCAUCUUGGUGAAUUUUUCCUUUGAUAAAUGUAAAGUGUCCUUCCUCUUCUUUUUUGAUAACUUUUAGUUGAAAGUCGAUUUUAUUUGAUAUUAUAAUGGUACUCCAGCUUAAGUCUUGGGACCAUUUACUUGGAAAAUUGUUUUCCAGCCUUUCACUCUGAGGUAAUGUCUAUCUUUGUCACUGAGGUAUGUUUCCUGUAUGCAGCAAAAUGCUGGGUCCUCCUUACAUUUCCAUUCUGCAAGUCUAUGUCUUUUUAUUGGGGAAUUAAGUUUAUUGAUAUUGAGAUAUCUCAAUGACCAAUUAUUGUUGUUUCCUGUUAUUUUUGUUGUUAGAGUUGGAAUUAUGUUUGUGAGGCCAUCUUCAUUUGGGUUAGUUGAAAUCAGAUUACUUUCAUUAUUUUUCUAUCGUGUAGUUUACCUCCUUAUGUUGGAGUGUUUCAUCUAUUAUCCUUUGUAUGGAUAUAUUUGUGGGAAGAUACUGUGUAAAUUUGGUUUUGUUAUAGAAUGUUGCUAAUUUUUCCCUUACUACUUUAUAUAAUGGGAAGAAUUUAUUUUAUGGUCCAGAUUUGGAGUUCCAUAGGUUUCUUGUAUAUUUAUGGGCACCUCUUUCUUUCUCAGCACCUCACAAUACCUUCUCCACAAUUGACAGUUUUUGAAUACUUUCUAAUUGAUAACUAAUUUUGCCUCGUUUUGAAAACACAAUUUAUAUGUAUAGCAAUACUAUUUAUAUGUUAAAUGACAGUACAAUAGAAUGACUUAAUACAGUUUUAAACAAAAGGAAGGAAGUAAAAAAAUUCAGGUCAUAGAGUCCCUCACUCCAGAAACAUCUUUUUUAUUUUUAAUUUACUUUUAAAACAACAGGACAAGGUAAAUAUAUUAAGUGACUUAUAAUUAGUACUGCCCUAAUAUUCAUGAAAUUAAAGCAACUUAGAAUCCAAAUUUGUUAAGAGCUUUUAUUAUUAGUUGAUAUUUCUCCUUUUCUUCCAUUUUUAUAGGUGUGUUGCACAUUUGUGCACAGAUACAUGUAUGAGUAUGCACAUGUAAAUGCCAGAAAUUAUCCUCUGGUAAAUUAACAUCAAGAGUAUCACCUCAUUUUCUACCUUAUUCCUUUACUUAUUUUUUAGACAAGAUCCUCUUAUGGGACCUGGAACUUGAGAAUCUGGCUAGGCUAUCCAUUUAUCUAGCCUCAGAGAUUCAACUGACACCACCUCCCUAGUAUAGAGAAUGUAUGCAUGUACUACUAUGUUGAACAUUAUACCUGGGUAGUGAAGAUUGAACUUGGGUUCUAAUGCUUGAGAGUCAAGCUCUUUACUGACUGUCCUGCCUCUUAAUUAAUCACUUUGAUGCAGGGAUCACAAAAGAUUUAUAUAGUGACAAUAAUUAAAAUCAGACUCAGCUUUGAUCCCAUCCAUGCUCUGAAUCUUUAAAUAUUUUUCAUUGAUUCUAUUGUUCAAAUGUCCAUUGGCUCAUGGCAUACUUUUGAGCAUGCGAGCACAUGCUGAGCAAUAAAUAAACGGAAAAUUUCUUUCCUUCAAAAAGGCAAAUCAAGCAUUUUCAUAAGUUCUACACAACUCUUAUAGGGAACAUUGUAGAUCCCUAGCAAUGAAAUUGUCUGCACUACAGGAAACCAAAUUAAUAAGUUGUUGCUUAAGCCUCACUUACAACUAAAAAUUUUACAGGUAAUAAUAGAAAAAUAACAAAUGGAAUUUGAGAAGCUAAGAAAUGUAUAAUCAGUUCACUUGCCAGUAUGAAUCCCCACCAUAGGUACCAAGACACAGCACUACCCAAGACAUUCCUGUGUGUUAUACUUUCUAAAACACCAUGUGCUACAUAUUUGAGCAACACAGAGAAAGCUUAUAUUUAAGAGAGCUGGGGCUGGGGAUUUAGCUCAGUGGUAGAGCGCUUACCUAGGAAGCGCAAGGCCCUGGGUUCGGUCCCCAGCUCCGAAAAAAAGAACCAAAAAAAAAAAAAAGAGAGAGAGAGAGAGUUUAAAAAGUAAUAGCUGUCACUCAUAAAGAAAAGAAAUGGUAAAUAUUUGGUUUUUAUUUGCAUUUGAAACAGUUAUACUCAUAUGAAAUUAUCUGUAAUCUAGGUUGUUGCUUUGUUAUCUCCUUUGAAUUGAAAUAUGCUUUCCUAGAGAGAUGGAGCAGGAUCUUAAGAUUGAGGAAGAAAAUAAAUUGUUUAAGGUUCAGGAAGUAAAGGAAGCUUAUACGUUUGAGGAAACAUCUGAAACUUAUAAAUCAUAAGACCCUCAUCUCAGUUUAUAGAAGCACUAACAAAUAGUUUGGGAUGGAGCUUUCUUCAGCCAGUUAAUCUGCCUGCAAGUAUGGAUCUAGUAUGUGUUUGUCAACAUCCAUGCUGGGGUGAGUUUUUCAGUGACACAUCUUUUGAGUCACCUAUGCCCCUAUGAGUAACUUUUCUUCUGUGCUUCUGUAAAUAACAUCAUUAAACUCACUGGUCAUAGCUAGACUUAGGAGGAAUCAUUUCUGCAGUCUGUAUUUGUGACCUAUCUGGGAUGAAGAGAUGUUUGUUCUUGUGUUCCCAUGAAAAUUCUCACAACAAAGGUAUGUUAUAAAUGACAAUGUGCUUAAGUAGUUAAAAUUUUAGAGAUGACUUUGUAUGGAGACAUUUGCAUGGAAAUUUAUUCGUCUGUGUUGUUCUGAAGUAAACUUUUUGCUGGUCUUUUUAUUUGUGUAGAAUCAAUAGAUAUUGUUGUGGGGGGUAUGAUUUUCAAUGUUCAUAAUAAAAUUACAACUUUCAUGAUGAAUUCUUAGAUUGCUCACUCUGAGAUAAGCCAGCUGUCACCGUGUGCACAUUGUCAAGCCUACCUCCAGAUAGAGCUAUGUGGUGAAAGACUGAACCCUUCUGUGUACAGCCUCAUGAGAGAGCAAAGUCUCCUCCAUCCCCAUUUAAAUCUCAUGGUACAGAAGCGUGUAGCUUCAUGAACCUCCAGGCAGAACAUUUAUAGACCCUGGGUCUUAAACCAAAGAACUAAGAAACAACAAGUAAUUACUGCUGUUAUGAGCUUUUCAUUUCCAAUUAACUUUCAGACAUUAAGUCAAUCAAUCUCAUUUUGGUCUAUUAAAUUACUUUGGCUCUUUGUUCAUUAAAAAUGUAUAUGUGUGUAUAUUUGUUUGUAUAAGUAAAAUGUUUGUAUAAUUAUAUGUGUAUGUAUUCAUAUACAUGUAUGUAUGUGUGUGCCCAUGUAUGUUUGUGACGGAAAGGCAGUGGACAUUUAGUCAAUCUGUGAAAUAGGAACUGGACCUUCAAGAAUGUCUUCUUCUUUCUCCAGGGAUUGUGUCUACUCCCAUACCCUUUGUGGUGAGGGCAGGAGUAUCUAUGAGAGAAUAUCCAUGAGACCUAGGGUAGCAUAUAUAAAGUCUGAAACACAUUAUACACUUGGACUCUCACCUCUACUCUUCCUCAUUCCAUUGAUGGAAGUUAUUGUAAUAAAAAUAUGAUUUUUUUCUAUUUCUUUAUGUGGCUGGUGCUUUGCAACUUAUUAUCUGUGUGUCAGUGCCCUCAGCAUUGAUAAAUAUUUUUUGUAUCCAGGCCCCUGAAAAUCUCAACCACUUUCACUCUCAGAUUACUUUCGUUAUCCCCUCUCUAUGAUAUGCAGGUAUUACACUUAGUGACUCCUCCCUCUGUCUUUUCACUUUCACACUUGAGUGGUUCCCAGAACAUAGAAUUCUUUGUCUAUCCCAUAGAACAGACUCAGUGGCACCUUUAGACAACCAUUCCUCACCCAAAUUCCUGGUAAUAUAUAUGCCCCUAUGUGUAAGUACUUGGAAGAACAUUCAACAACAGGCUUCUGGAUGUCAUAGGAGAGCCUUGAGUUUUGGUGCUGGCACACCACAAUAUUUGAAACAGUAUCUCCAGUAUCUCCUGGUAAACCAAGUUAGCUUGUCUAUGAACUUUGGAAAAUAUUUUGUCUCUACCUCUCAUUUUUUUAGGAGCUCCUGUAUUGCAGGUUCACACACUGUGCCUCUGGCUUUAUCAGAGUUCCCAGAAACUCACUGAAGACUUCAUGCUUGCUUAUCAAACACUUCGUCAAUGGAGACAUCAUCUAAGUACAUUGCUUCAGUUCUUAAUCCAAUCAAUUUACUUGUAAAAGAUGUCUGAGGGAAGAAGAUCUUUACCAAUCCUACAUCUGAUAGAGGGCUAAUAUCCAAAAUAUACAAAGAACACAAGAAGUUAGACUCCAGAGAGCCAAAUAACCCUAUUAAAAAUGGGGUACAAAACUAAACAAACCAUUCUCAGCUGAGGAUUAUUGAAUGGCCAAAAAGCACUUAAAGAAAUGUUCAACAUCCUUAGUCAUCAGGGAAAGGCAAAUCAAAACAACCCCGAGAUUCCACCUCACACCAGGCAGAAUGGCUAAGAUAAAAAACUCAGGUGACAGCAGAUGCUGGCGUGGAUGUGGAGAAAGAGGAACACUCCUCCAUUGUUGGUGGGAUUGCAAACUGGUACAACCAUUCUGGAAAUCAUCUGGAGAUUCCUCAGAAAAUUGGACAUUCUACUACAUGAGGACCCAGAUAUACCUCUCCUGGGUAUAUACCCAAAAGAUUCUCCAGCAUACAACAAAGACACAUGCUCCACUAUGUUCAUAGCAGCCUUAUUUAUAAUAGCCAGAAGCUAGAAAGAACCCAGAUGCCCUUCAACAGAGGAAUGGAUUCAAAAAAUGUGGUACAUCUACACAAUGGAGUACUACUCAGCUAUCAAAAACAAUGACUUCAUGAAAUUCGUAGGCAAAUAAAAUGAACUAGAAAAUAUCCUGAGUAAGGUAACUCAAUCACAGAAAAACACACUUGGUAUGCAUUCAUUAAUAAGUGGAUAUUAACCAAAAAGCUCGAAUUACCCAAGAUGCAAUCCACAGAUCAAAGGAAGCUCAAGAAGAAGGAUGACCAAAAUUCGGAUGCUCCCACUCCUUUUUUUUUUUUUUUUUUGGUUCUUUUUUUUUCGGAACUGGGGACCGAA